GAUGAACGCUGGCGGCGUGCCUAAUACAUGCAAGUCGAGCGAACGGACGAGAAGCUUGCUUCUCUGAUGUUAGCGGCGGACGGGUGAGUAACACGUGGAUAACCUACCUAUAAGACUGGGAUAACUUCGGGAAACCGUAGCUAAUACCGGAUAAUAUUUUGAACCGCAUGGUUCAAAAGUGAAAGACGGUCUUGCUGUCACUUAUAGAUGGAUCCGCGCUGCAUUAGCUAGUUGGUAAGGUAACGGCUUACCAAGGCAACGAUGCAUAGCCGACCUGAGAGGGUGAUCGGCCACACUGGAACUGAGACACGGUCCAGACUCCUAAGGGAGGCAGCAGUAGGGAACCUUCCGCAAUGGGGGAAAGCCUGACGGAGCAACGCCGCGUGAGUGAUGAAGGUCUUCGGAUCGUAAAACUCUGUUAUUAGGGAAGAACAUAUGUGUAAGUAACUGUGCACAUCUUGACGGUACCUAAUCAGAAAGCCACGGCUAACUACGUG
rnacentral:rRNA from 1 species